GAGACAGUUCGGUCCCUAUCCGUCGUGGGCGUAGGAAAUUUGAGAGGAGCUGUCCUUAGUACGAGAGGACCGGGAUGGACGCACCGCUGGUGUACCAGUUGUUCUGCCAAGGGCAUAGCUGGGUAGCUAUGUGCGGAAGGGAUAAGUGCUGAAAGCAUCUAAGCAUGAAGCCCCCCUCAAGAUGAGAUUUCCCAUAGCGUAAGCUAGUAAGAUCCCUGAAAGAUGAUCAGGUUGAUAGGUUCGAGGUGGAAGCAUGGUGACAUGUGGAGCUGACGAAUACUAAUAGAUCGAGGACUUAACCAU
rnacentral:rRNA from 5 species